rnacentral:sRNA from 1 species
GGAUAUGAGAGCAAUCUGGCUGUCACAUCUAUCAACCCACUGUUCCCCAUGGUUGAUUCAGCUCAUCUGGAUGACUAGGCAGGUGUCCCCUCACUCCAUUAUCAUGACUCCUUUGCAUUCCUCCUAAAGUUGUGCACUUGCUUAAAGAGGAUGGCCUUCUCAGAAUAGAGAGUGUUCAUUCUUUGGUCAUGACUCUACAAGUAGCUCCCCUGCUCAAACCUCCAAAGUAGCCAUCAUAAUAAGAAAUUCUAAGAAUGACCUU